rnacentral:rRNA from 1 species
AGAGUUUGAUCCUGGCUCAGAUUGAACGCUGGCGGCAUGCCUUACACAUGCAAGUCGAACGGUAACAGGUCUUCGGAUGCUGACGAGUGGCGAACGGGUGAGUAAUACAUCGGAACGUGCCCGAUCGUGGGGGAUAACGGAGCGAAAGCUUUGCUAAUACCGCAUACGAUCUACGGAUGAAAGCAGGGGACCGCAAGGCCUUGCGCGGACGGAGCGGCCGAUGGCAGAUUAGGUAGUUGGUGGGAUAAAAGCUUACCAAGCCGACGAUCUGUAGCUGGUCUGAGAGGACGACCAGCCACACUGGGACUGAGACACGGCCCAGACUCCUACGGGAGGCAGCAGUGGGGAAUUUUGGACAAUGGGCGCAAGCCUGAUCCAGCCAUGCCGCGUGCAGGAUGAAGGCCUUCGGGUUGUAAACUGCUUUUGUACGGAACGAAAAGACUCCUUCUAAUAAAGGGGGUCCAUGACGGUACCGUAAGAAUAAGCACCGGCUAACUACGUGCCAGCAGCCGCGGUAAUA